GGUAACCAGCUCUGAUACCCCUUCACAUAAAGGAAGGUGUGUUUUUUUUGUUUACAAUAGAUUUUGCUGCUACUCACUGUGGAUAUACACUGCAUUUAUGAGCUGUAAUAUUUGCUAUGAAGGUCUGCAGCUUUGCUCCUGAAGCUGGCGAGACCACAUAAACCACCAAGAAGACCUAAGAGUUCCACAGGCACAGUCUUAAGAGCUGUAAUGCUCACCGUGAAGGUCUGCAGUUUCACUCCUGAGCCGGCGAGAGCACGAAGCCACGACAAGGAAAAAGUGAGAACACAUCUCAACAUCAGAAAGAACGAACUGGGCAGGCUGGCUUUAAGAAUCUGUGACACUAACUGCGAGGGUCCGCGGCUUUGUUCUUGAAGUCAGUGAGCCCAAGAUCCCACCAAUUGUAGACACACUGGGUUCAAGCGAUUUUCCUGCCUCAGCCUUCCAAGUAGCUGGGAUUACAGGUGUUCAUGCCGGGGUGGAGGCUUGCUCUGUCUCCCAGGCUGGAGAGCAGUGGUGCAGUCUUGGCUCACUACAACCUCCAUCUCCCAGGUUCAAGUUAUUCUCCUGCCUCAGCCUCCUGAGUAGCUAGGAUUACAGAAGUAGGACCCUUUGAAUGAAAGUUAAAGAUUCAUAUAAGCAACAGAACCUUCCAGGUCUGAGCUGAGGUGUCAUCUCUGAACACCAGGCUGCUGCACUAACCAGAAGACCCCUCCCCUCCGCAGUGGCCUCACUGCAUCGUAAGGACAGAGGAGCCGUUGUCUCCACAGCUGACAGGACAAGAAGUAUGAGCAACGGCACAGACACCAGGAUGACUAAAAGAAAAAACAAACAAACAAACAAAAAACUAGGGUAAUGUUACUGUCUAUCACUGCCCAUGCCAAUGAGUUGAGAUUGAUCUGUAUUUGUACCUAGGACAAAGGCAAUAUCAUCAAUAACUUCUGCCAGAUUCUAGAAACUGAGAAAAUCAAGAUAAAGACGCCAGCAGACUCGAGGCCGGGUGUGAUAGCUCAUGCCUGUAAUCCCAGAACUUUGGGAAGCUGAGGUGGGUGGAUCACCUGAGGUCUGGAGUUCAAGACCAGCUUGACCAACAUGGAGAAACCCCGUCUCUACUAAAAAUACAAAAUUAGCCAGGCGUGGUGGUGGGCAACUGUAAUCCCAGCUACUCCCAGCAGGCAGAGGCGGAAGAAUCCCUUGAACCGGGAGGCGGAGGUUGUAGUGAGCUGAGAUCGCGCCACUGCUCCCCAGCCUGUGCCAGAGCCAGACUCUGUCUCAAACACAAACAACAAAAUAAAACAAGAAAAGAUUUAAUGGAAGACCUCAAUAAGCCAUUGUAGGCUGUAAAAUUCACUUAGUGCAAUCUUUCAAAGAGUCGUUUUGGACUUGAUAGUAGCUCAGUACCAAGAUCAUUACAGAAGUUAAUACCAAUAAUAGCCACUGAAUAUAUUGUCUCUAUAAUGUGGAUCAAAUUCUCAUUUGACUGUACUGGCAUUGGUGAUAGAAGGUGCAAGUUAUACCCCUGAUUUACGCUGGGGUAUAUCAGGUGAUUAAAGUUAAGGCAGGCUAGAGAAAAAGUGAAAGCACUCAAAUUGCUGAUUUGGAGUGAAUGAUAAAGCAAUUUAAUAUACCGUCUCUAAAGCAUCCGUUUUCACCUGUCCGAAGAGUUUUAAAGGAUAUUUGGCCAGAAAAUUUCUACCAUGUGUCAGAAUAUUAAUUUGCAUGUAUGCGUUCAUAGUUCAUGUGAUAUUAUUUUGGUGGUUUUAUUAUAACUGCAUAGAAUGGUUUGCUUCAUACUGAAUAUCUUUCUUUUUUUCUUUCUUUCGUUCUUUCUCUUUCUUACAGCCAUAGGUGCUUUAAGUCAUUAAACUUUGAGCACUAUAAAAAUAUCUAAAGAGUGCUUAUUUUUAUAACAUUAAGAAUACUCCAUUUGCAACUUUAAUUAUAAUUACUUCAUUUUUAAAAUCUCAGAAGAUAAUGAAAUAUGUAGAAUUGCCAAAACAGUUGAGAAAGCUCACUGCAUUCGUUUGGUAGAGCUGUCGUAACAAAGUGCCAUGGACUGGAUGGCUUAAACAGAAACUUAUUUUCUCACAGUUUUAGAUGCCAAAAGUCCAAGAUUAAAGGUAUUGGUAGGUUUGGUUUCUUCUGAGACCUAUUCGAUUGGUCCAUAGACUGCUAUCGUCUCCCCGUGUCUUUACAUCGUCAUUUCUCUGUAUGUGUCUGUGUGUAAAUGUUCUCCUCUUAGAAGCACACCAGUCACAUUGGAUUAGGACGCACCCUACUGACCUUAUUUAACCUUAAUUGUGUACUUCUCUAAAGACGUUGUCUCCAAAUACAGAUACUCUGUGAUAUUGAGGGUUAGGACUUCAACACAUGAAUUUGGCGGGGGUGGGUGGGCACAAUUUAGCUCAUAAAACUCACUAAGGUUUAAUUAGGGCAUGGACUAUAGAGCAUUCUACUGUUAAUUUAGUUUUUGUGUUUGGAAAGCAUUUUGAAACAUAAUGAUUUUUAUUUACAAUUUCAUUAUUUAUAUUUUCAUUAUGUUUAGGGUUACUUGGAGGUACAUGAAGAAAGAAGAGUUCCGCAUUAGUGAGGCAGGGAUGUCAGUAUAUAAGGAAUUGGAAAGACAUCAAUGAUAAUGGCAAAAGCUGCUUAUAAAUUAAAUUAAGAGCUUAAUUAAACUGAGGAAAAAAGCAUAUUGCCAAAUUACAUGCAGUUGUUUUGUAACAGCAUUUGUCCACUUGCUGUGCCCUGAGAUUUCCAAGGCACAUUACUAAGCGUAUUAUAAGAUGGUUAAAUAUGCAUAGUACAAGUAUGUUAUGGAAGCCUGUGUUAACUGAUAUAGUGGGACCACAAUAGUAUGUGUAAGUGAGAUUUGGAAAAUUUGAUAUGCCAGCAAGGACAAAGAAGUGUUGAAUUUGCAAGUUUAUGCACAUAAUUCUGAGAAUCCAGGCAGCUAUUUCUCCUUUUGAAUUGUUCCCUUGGCUAGGGCAUAAGGGUGAGACACAAAACACAUUUGAAUGUGUCACUGUGUAAAUUACCACUGCAAUAUUUUCUGUAUGUUGAAAAACUGGUACUUAUAUGUACUAAUACUAUCUACCAUGAAAAAACCAAUUAAAAAUUUAAAAUAUUAUGUAAAUUAAAUAAAGUUCAAAUACCACUAGCCAGAAAAAAUAUUUUAUAUUAUAGUCUGGGGUCAGAAGAGGAAAAACUUAUGUAAAGUAUCAAAAUUAAUUUUUAUUUCAAUUUAAAUGCACCAUCAUAUAACAGUUUCAUAACUGAAAUUACAUUUGUCAGAAUUUGAUAUUUUCAUUAUUAAAGAAUUGAGGGAAAAUUGAUGGUUAUAAUAUUGAUAUGCAAUGUAAAUAAACUUUUUUUCAUUGUUAUAGGAAUGAAUUGCUCAACUAAUUGGCCAAUGUCAACCACAUAUCUGUUUUCAUGGAAACUGCAGCAAUAUUACUUCAAAUAGUUUCAUUUGUGAAUGUGAUAAACAAUUUUCAGAUAAAAAAUGUACACAUACAUAUACCAUUUGUCCUGGAUUUUUUUUUUUUUUUUUUUUCUUUUGGAGACGGAGUCUAGCUCUGUCACCCAGGCUGGAGUGCAGUGGCGCGAUCCCGGCUCACUGCAAGCUCCAUCUCCCGGGUUCCCGCCAUUCUCCUGCCUGAGCCUCCCGGGUCGCUGGGACUACAAGUGCCCGCCGCUACACCCGGCUAAUUUUUUAUAUUUUUA